rnacentral:rRNA from 1 species
UACGGGGGGGGCAAGCGUUGUUCGGAAUUACUGGGCGUAAAGGGCUCGUAGGCGGCCAACUAAGUCAGACGUGAAAUCCCUCGGCUUAACCGGGGAACUGCGUCUGAUACUGGAUGGCUUGAGUGUGGGAGAGGGAUGCGGAAUUCCAGGUGUAGCGGUGAAAUGCGUAGAUACCUGGAGGAACACCGGUGGCGAAGGCGGCAUCCUGGACCAUUACUGACGCUGAGGAGCGAAAGCCAGGGGAGCAAACGGG